GUACUCACUUCAGCAACACAUACACUAAAAUUGGAAGGAUACAGAGAUUAGCAUGGCCUCUGCAUAAGGAUGACACAUGAAUUCAUGAACCAUUCCACAUUUUU